rnacentral:rRNA from 1 species
AGUCGAGCGGGGAAGGGUAGCUUGCUACCUGACCUAGCGGCGGACGGGUGAGUAAUGCUUAGGAAUCUGCCUAUUAGUGGGGGACAACAUUCCGAAAGGAAUGCUAAUACCGCAUACGCCCUACGGGGGAAAGCAGGGGAUCUUCGGACCUUGCGCUAAUAGAUGAGCCUAAGUCAGAUUAGCUAGUUGGUGGGGUAAAGGCCUACCAAGGCGACGAUCUGUAGCGGGUCUGAGAGGAUGAUCCGCCACACUGGGACUGAGACACGGCCCAGACUCCUACGGGAGGCAGCAGUGGGGAAUAUUGGACAAUGGGCGCAAGCCUGAUCCAGCCAUGCCGCGUGUGUGAAGAAGGCCUUUUGGUUGUAAAGCACUUUAAGCGAGGAGGAGGCUACUGGUAUUAAUACUACCGGAUAGUGGACGUUACUCGCAGAAUAAGCACCGGCUAACUCUGUGCCAGCAGCCGCGGUAAUACAGAGGGUGCGAGCGUUAAUCGGAUUUACUGGGCGUAAAGCGUGCGUAGGCGGCUUUUUAAGUCGGAUGUGAAAUCCCUGAGCUUAACUUAGGAAUUGCAUUCGAUACUGGGAAGCUAGAGUAUGGGAGAGGAUGGUAGAAUUCCAGGUGUAGCGGUGAAAUGCGUAGAGAUCUGGAGGAAUACCGAUGGCGAAGGCAGCCAUCUGGCCUAAUACUGACGCUGAGGUACGAAAGCAUGGGGAGCAAACAGGAUUAGAUACCCUGGUAGUCCAUGCCGUAAACGAUGUCUACUAGCCGUUGGGGCCUUUG